rnacentral:rRNA from 1 species
GGCGAACGCUGGCGGCGUGCUUAACACAUGCAAGUCGAGCGGUAAGGCCUCUUCGGGGGUACACGAGCGGCGAACGGGUGAGUAACACGUGGGUGACCUGCCCUCAGCUCUGGGAUAAGCCUGGGAAACUGGGUCUAAUACCGGAUAUGACCUUUCCUCGCAUGGGGGUUGGUGGAAAGUUUUUUCGGCUGGGGAUGGGCCCGCGGCCUAUCAGCUUGUUGGUGGGGUGAUGGCCUACCAAGGCGACGACGGGCAGCCGGCCUGAGAGGGCGACCGGCCACACUGGGACUGAGACACGGCCCAGACUCCUACGGGAGGCAGCAGUGGGGAAUAUUGCGCAAUGGGCGGAAGCCUGACGCAGCGACGCCGCGUGGGGGAUGACGGCCUUCGGGUUGUAAACCUCUUUCGACCCCGACGAAUUUGGACGGUAGGGGUAGAAGAAGCACCGGCCAACUACGUG